AUUGAACGCUGGCGGCAUGCCUUACACAUGCAAGUCGAACGGCAGCACGGGUGCUUGCACCUGGUGGCGAGUGGCGAACGGGUGAGUAAUACAUCGGAACGUACCUUAUCGUGGGGGAUAACGCAGCGAAAGUUGCGCUAAUACCGCAUACGCCCUGAGGGGGAAAGCGGGGGACCGUAAGGCCUCGCGCGAUUAGAGCGGCCGAUGUCUGAUUAGCUUGUUGGUGAGGUAAAAGCUCACCAAGGCGAUGAUCAGUAGCUGGUCUGAGAGGACGAUCAGCCACACUGGGACUGAGACACGGCCCAGACUCCUACGGGAGGCAGCAGUGGGGAAUUUUGGGCAAUGGGGGCAACCCUGAUCCAGCAAUGCCGCGUGAGUGAAGAAGGCCUUCGGGUUGUAAAGCUCUUUUGUCAGGGAAGAAACAGCAGCUCUAACACAGUCUGCGAAUGACGGUACCUGAAGAAUAAGCACCGGCUAACUACGUGCCAGCCGCCGGGUAA
rnacentral:rRNA from 1 species